rnacentral:tRNA from 1 species
GCCUGGAUGUCUCAGUCGGUUAAGGGUCUGACUUUAGCUCAGGUCAUGAACUCAUGGUUCGUGGGUUUGAGCCCCAUGUCAGGCU